rnacentral:rRNA from 1 species
UACGUAGGGCGCGAGCGUUGUCCGGAAUUAUUGGGCGUAAAGAGCUCGUAGGCGGUCUGUCGCGUCGGCUGUGAAACCUUGGGGCUCAACCCCAAGCCUGCAGUCGAUACGGGCAGACUAGAGUGCGGUAGGGGAGACUGGAAUUCCUGGUGUAGCGGUGAAAUGCGCAGAUAUCAGGAGGAACACCGGUGGCGAAGGCGGGUCUCUGGGCCGUAACUGACGCUGAGGAGCGAAAGCGUGGGGAGCGAACAGG